GGCAUCCACGUUCAUCUGAAUAAAGACUGCCUCUUCAGCCACAGCUAAGAUGCCUGUAAUAGGAGUGAGAGCCGCCUCUGUUGCAGGAAGCCCCUGGGAUUUCAGAGCUGCUUGUAACUGCAGCCUAACACAGCCUCAGCAGACCGAUACGUCGUCGUGUCGCCAAAACAGAGCAGGAACAUGGAUGGAGUUGGAGGUCAUUAUUCUUCACAAACUAAUGCAGGAACAGAAAACCGAAUGCUACAUGUUCUCACCGGAAUACCUAAAAGAACAAAAGUUCUGCAAUGAAGAUUCCUUGUGAAACACUCGGGGUUAUAGUUUGAAGUGAACCAAACAGCCGGCUCAUUGUUUGAGAAACAGUUGUUUCACGGGUGAAUCGACUCCUCUUCGGCAGCCACUGGUUUGCUAAGGAUUUACUUUGAACAUUUCGAUGAUGUAAUUAGUUAAGAUGUGGCCAUACCGGCCUAGUGGGCCCUAAAUCCAGUGAGACUGGUAUCCUUAUAAGAAGACGGAGACACGGGGAGAAGAUGGCCCCGUGAUACCAGAAGCAGACUGGAGUGAUGCAUCUGCAAACCAGGAAACAUCAAGCAAUGCUGGCAACACCAUGAGAAGAGACAAGGGAGGACCCUUCCCUAGCACUUCAGAGGGCAGACGGCCCUUCUGGCACCGUGACUUGGGACUUCUAGCUUCCAGAACCCUGAGAGAAUACGCCUGUGGUUUGAAGCCACCCGGUCUUUGCCAGUGUGUCAUGGCAGCUCUAAGAAACCAACCCAGCGUGGUUAUGCAUUUUCCUUAAGUCCAGAUCUUGGCUAACAGGAAGUGGCAAGAAAAUAAGGAAAAGCCAACUCUCUCUCUCUCUCUCUCUGGCCAGGAUGGUGUCUCCUCCCACGUGGAGAAGGAGAGCUGCUCCUUCUGCCAUUACUGCCAUUACUGCUAAUGAAAAGUGAAAUGACAAGUGAGGAGUGAGAAAAUCGGAUGGCCCCUGGUGGGCACACGCUGUGGGACUCGCUAGCCAGUGUAAGGAGCUCGGAGAGGCGUGACAGCGCUCCCCAGACAGGACGGUUCUCCAGAUUUUGAGAAAGGCACGUCUUCUCUGGUCAUCUCUAGUUUCAGACCCAGAGAAAAGCCCGGUUCUUGGCUGGUAUUUAAGCUCCUCAUUUUUGUCACAUUGCUUUCUCACUCUAAUGGUCUUGAUCAAGUUUUCACCCUGUGAGAGUCACACGCGGGAGGAAUGGGAUGGAGCGCUCAGCCGUUCACAGAGCCCAGCCCUGCCUCCCUCUGCUUGGUGUGCUUACUCUUGGCAAGAUGCAGCUUCCUGUUCAGAGAAAAAGGACUUAAAAAGGAUCGUAAAAUGGGCUCCCAAGGCUCCUUGAAUAGCAAAUAGCUUUUAAAAGACAACACUUUAAUGGCCUAUGAGUAUCCAAGUCAAAAACAAAAGUAUUGAAUAUCCCUUUAAAUGUGUAUGAGUUUAAAAAGCAAGAUGGGAAUAGAUUUGGCAAAGUUUCUUCUGGAUUUUAUAGAAUUCAAAAUGCUCAAAAAAUUUUUACCUAUACGCCCACACACAACUGCAAAACUUUUAUAAACGACGUGGGGAGAUAACAAAAAUGAUACUGUGCAAAUCCAAACAGUAUGCAGCUUCUGCAUUGCUGUGCCUGAUGGAAAUAUUUCUCUCUUUUAUGAGCGUCUCUCUGUGCGUGGAGAAGGAAGAAAGAUGGGCGUAUGAGGCAGGGAGGGGAGAAAGGAGGAAGAGAAGCCUAUUCCGGGCUUCAUGGCCGUUCUCAGUACUCACUCGUGUGCCCUCUAAAUGGAACCAUUUGCUGUACAUUUUGAAUUGCUAACAUUUGGUAGACUAGGGGACAAUGGAUUUUUGCGUAAACUAUGAAUUUUAUGACAAUGAAUUAGCAUGUUCAUUGAACAGAAAGUAAACAAAGCUUAGUACAAAAUCGGUUCAGUAGAUAACCUAACUCUUCUGCUGCUUAAUGAAGUGUUGGUGAUGAAACCAAAACAAAUAGCUUUAUGCUUUGUAAAGCACAGGGAAACGUACUUUCGUGUUUAAUUACUGUGUGGUUAUGACAAGGCUGGUACCUGCCUGAACCAUAAGUGACAAAGUUUGCAGCAGCCGCUCCUGCUUCAGCAGACUGGGUGUUGAACUAACCAGUUACAGCACUGGCAUUAGAACAGAGAGGGAAAAUGGGCAUGCAAAUAUAGUCAGUUCUGACGAACCUCCAACAUCUGUGAAGCACCUACUGCGUGUGUGCCAGGCACUGGGGAUAUGGCACAAUGAGAUGGGGGCAUUUGCAUUGUCCAGAACUCUAGGGAGGGUAGGGAGGAUGAGGCGUGACUGUCUUAGUAGUUUUGUGAUGAUGAAUUUCGUGUCACCUUGACUGGACCAGGUUAGUUCAGAUAUUUGGCUAACCUUUAUUCUGGGGGUUUCUGUGAGGGUGUUUUGGAUGAGAUGGGCAUUUAAAUUGGUAGACCGUGUAAAACAGAUGCCCCCCCCCUCCAAGUGGGUGAGCACCAUCCAAUCUGAGGAGGCCUGAACAAAACAAAAGGCAGAGGAGGGGAUUUGUUCUCUCUGCCUCACUUCUUGAGCUGGGGCAUGGUUCUUUUCCUGUCAUCUUUUUAGGCCAUCUGCUCUCCUGGUUCUCAGACCUUCGGACUCAGGCUGGACCCACACCACUGGCUCUGUUGGGCCUCCAGCGACUUCUACAACUGUGCGAGCCAAUUUCUUAUAAUGGCCCAUGUCCCCCACCUGGGUUCUGACUGUCUGGAGAACCCCAAUUAAUACAGAUUUCUAAGGAGACACCGAGGCAAGAAUUUGAGGACUACUAGUUGAAUAGGAGUGAUCCAGGAAGCAUGGCUAGGAAGGAGAGCGACAGAAAUGAGACAGGGAAAGGAAGGAAGUCAGCCAAGGCUCACUGGCACUGUGGGCAACGGGCCACACCGGGAAAUGUUAUGAAACGGAAGCUGAUGUUCGUCUGCCUGAGGAUGAGGGAGGUGGGCCAGUCAUCUUCCAGCUCUCUCCCACUUCAUUGCCUGAGAGCUGCUCCUGGGAGCAUUAACUCCUCAGCCCUUCUGGCCUCUGCUGUGCAGAUCAUGAGACGCCUUCACAGGGAGCACGGCAGGCUCUUGUAGACGGAUGCUCUCCACAGGUCCUGGAAGCUAAGGACUGAGGGCAUAAGGGUGAGCAUCGAAUGGCAUCCACUGUCAUGACUGAGGGGAUGGAGACUGGGCUGGUAACCCAGGCAGAGUUCAGAGGAGGAAGAGUGUUAUGGGAUAGAGUAAGAAGGGAGAGAUUUACGGAGGAGUUGGGGCAUUGACUCAGCCUCUGUAAGAGGGGAAGAGGCAUGGUGAGCCCGGGUUGUGGAGUGUGUAGUCUCGGAGGCUGCGGAGAGCCUGAGCUGGUGAUGAAAGCUGGAUCAUUGAGGACCGUCUGCUCCGGAAUGGCUGCAGUGCAAGCGGAUGUUGGCCCCAGUGUGUGCCACGGAUGUUGGCCCCAGUGUGUGCCACGGAUGUUGGCCCCAGUGUGUGCCACGGAUGUUGGCCCCAGUGUGCCACAGAUGUUGGCCCCAGUGUGCCAUGGAUGUUGGCCCCAGUGUGUGCCACAUGGACAGGGCAUCUUGAGCAGAGACACAUGAAGUAUUUUGGCGUGG
ensembl:lncRNA